rnacentral:rRNA from 1 species
UACGAAGGGGGCUAGCGUUGCUCGGAAUCACUGGGCGUAAAGGGUGCGUAGGCGGGUCUUUAAGUCAGGGGUGAAUCCUGGAGCUCAACUCCAGAACUGCCUUUGAUACUGAAGAUCUUGAGUUCGGGAGAGGUGAGUGGAACUGCGAGUGUAGAGGUGAAAUUCGUAGAUAUUCGCAAGAACACCAGUGGCGAAGGCGGCUCACUGGCCCGAUACUGACGCUGAGGCACGAAAGCGUGGGGAGCAAACAGG